GAAAUGCGAUACGUAGUGUGAAUUGCAGAAUUCAGUGAAUCAUCGAAUCUUUGAACGCACAUUGCGCCCUUUGGUAUUCCAAAGGGCAUGCCUGUUCGAGCGUCAUUUGUACCCUCAAGCUUUGCUUGGUGUUGGGCGUUUUUGUCUUUGGCCCGCCAAAGACUCGCCUUAAAAUGAUUGGCAGCCGGCCUACUGGUUUCGCAGCGCAGCACAUUUUUGCGCUUGCAAUCAGCAAAAGAGGACGGCAAUCCAUCAAGACUCCUUCUCACGUUUGACCUCGGAUCAGGUAGGGAUACCCGCUGAACUUAAGC
rnacentral:misc_RNA from 1 species